CCUACGGGUGACAGUAGUGAGGAAUAUUGGUCAAUGGGCGCGAGCCUGAACCAGCCAAGUCGCGUGAGGGAAGACGGCCCUACGGGUUGUAAACCUCUUUUGCCGGGGAGCAACGGGCGCCACGUGUGGCGCCACUGAGAGUAACCGGAGAAAAAGCAUCGGCUAACUCCGUGCCAGCAGCCGCGGUAAUACGGCGGAUGCGAGCGUUAUCCGUGUGUAUUGGGUUUAAAGGGUGCGUAGGCGGAGCGUUAAGUCAGUGGUCAAAUUGAGGGGCUCAACCCCUUCCCGCCAUUGAAACUGGCGCUCUUGAGUGGAAGAGAAGUAUGCGGAAUGCGUGGUGUAGCGGUGAAAUGCAUAGAUAUCACGCAGAACCCCGAUUGCGAAGGCAGCAUGCCGGCUUCCUACUGACGCUGAAGCACGAAAGCGUGGGGAUCGAACAGGAUUAGAUACCCGUGUAGUC
rnacentral:rRNA from 1 species